UAUUGUAUCAAUUUGUCGGAGUAUGGCGCUCAAAUUUGUGACAUUGUUUUGUUCGCUUUGGCAACCCUCGUAUAUAUCAGAUGACCUCAGAUGCUGUUCGGCCUCAAAUGCGACUGAAUAAACACUGAUAGUGUUGCCUGGAAUAUGAAAUGAUAUUGAAUGAUUGUUCCGUAUAUCAAGGUACGUACUGUACAUUUAUACUGGAUUUAUUUUCACACGAGUUUCAAACUAUUUCAGCUUUAUGAACAAUGAGAUCACAUCACUAACAUACAGAAAGACUCCAUAUUUUCUCAUCAAAUCUGAUUAUCGUUACAAGUAACAGUAGAAAUGCUUCAAAAUUUAUUCUGUAUGUAAAGCAGGCCAGCAUGUUUCAUUUUCCUUUGGUGGUAGUCACCACUCACCAAGUCAAAUAGGCCAUUCCAUUUAAUAGCCCCCCCCCCCCUAUUGUCUAUUGAGGUCUGGAUAUCCUAUAUGAGGAUUUUAUAGAGGGGGUUUUUACCUUAAAUUUUUCUGGAGGGUAGCUUAAGAGAUUUCCUAAAAAUUAGGUGUUUUAGUGAUAUCCAAAGGGGCAGGAACAAUAUCCUAAAGGGGUAGAAAGACAUCCAUAGGGGUUCCAAAAUUGCAUCCAAUGGGGUUCCAAAAUUAUUAAAAGGUAUUAUGAAGAGACCCCUCAAUAGGGUGUGGGGGGGGGGGGCUAUAUUAGAUGGAAUGGCCCAGUGUGCUGCAACAACUUUUAAAAUUUGUAUAUAUGUUUUUAAGGCACAAUAUGUGAUGGAGUUUGAUAUGAUGAUCAGCACAACCUGAAGGUCUUGACUGAAUGAACAACUUAUCUGAUAUACUCCUACUUCCAAUACUUUGCUGUAUAUUAUCACCAGCUCAGAUGUCAGUUGGAUCACUUUGAAUGAACAUUGGAGUGGCACAAUAAAGUGUCUGUAUUAGGGAGGAGUCUAUAAGGACUGAAGUAAAAGGCACACUUUUGGAUAUUAAUCUGAAUCAUAGCAACUACAUAUACUGUAGGUUUCAAAUUAGUUUGAACAAUGAACAACUGAAAAUAGAAAUUUAUUUAAUUGGAAACACUUAAAGGAAUUACAACAUAUUAUAUGAUAGUCAUAUGUACAUGAUUAUAGGUAUAUUCAUUAGUUUUACUAGCUGAUAUUUAUGACUAUCCUGGGACAACAUUUUAUUUUUCCCAAGAGAUUUUACUUGCAUGAUAGUAAUAAGUUUAAUAGUAACAGAGAAGUGUGAUGGAUAUGUGCAAGUAAUUAUCAUUAGAAAUACAAAGAUUAAACUGUAAUUUUGA
rnacentral:lncRNA from 1 species